rnacentral:lncRNA from 1 species
UUUGUAAAUGAUGACCGUAACUUUUAAAGGAUGACCCUCAAUUCUAAGAAAUAUCCGUAUUUAUAUAACUAUCUUUUUGUAUCAAAUGAUUAAUCGUGUUGGUAUACACAUAUUAAUAUGAAAGUUUUAUCCUAUAGGUAGAAGAAAAUAAGACGUGCUUCAAAUGCAAAGAUUACCAUAUGUAUCUUUUUUACAGUAGAGGGUUCAAUUUUUAAAAUGAAUUUGCCAAAAGACAUGCGGUGCACAGCCUUCAACUGCUCGACAAAAGAUUUUUGUUUGUUUCUGGGAUUCCUUUUAAUGACAUAUAAUAAAUACACAUUUUUAAAAAUGCCAAAAAAUUGCAUGUACACCCAUUGAUAUUAUAUCGUCUUUCAUUUUGUCGUGCAAAUAAAAUAACAGAAAUAUUUUGAAAAUAUCAUUCGAAUAAACUAGUGAAGGUGAGCUCCAGCAAAGUAGAUCCUUAAAAUAGUAUUGUACGAAAAGCGUAUCACAAGGCGGAACGUUGUCAAUUUGUAUAUAUACAGAAAUGUUAUUCAUACAGUCAGGAUUCUACUUCUUCAAAAUUAUCUCCCCAUUACGCCAGUUCAUGCUCACAGUCGUAGAAAUGGAAGCCAUUGUAGGGAUGACGCUCUGCCAAUUUUGCUCUUGAAAA